rnacentral:rRNA from 1 species
GACGAACGCUGGCGGCGUGCUUAACACAUGCAAGUCGAACGAUGAAGCCGGAGCUUGCUCUGGUGAAUUAGUGGCGAACGGGUGAGUAACACGUGAGUAACCUGCCCUUGACUCUGGGAUAACUGCGGGAAACUGUAGCUAAUACCGGAUACGACCCUCGGAGGCAUCUCCUGGGGGUGGAAAGAAUUUCGGUCAAGGAUGGACUGGCGGCCUAUCAGCUAGUUGGUGAGGUAAAGGCUCGCCAAGGCGACGACGGGUAGCCGGCCUGGGAGGGUGACCGGCCACACUGGGACUGAGACACGGCCCAGACUCCUACGGGAGGCAGCAGUGGGGAAUAUUGCACAAUGGGCGCAAGCCUGAUGCAGCAACGCCGCGUGAGGGAUGACGGCCUUCGGGUUGUAAACCUCUUUUAGCAGGGAAGAAGCGAAAGUGACGGUACCUGCAGAAAAAGCACCGGCUAACUACGUGCCAGCCGCCGCAGUAA